UACGGGGGGAGCAAGCGUUGUUCGGAUUUACUGGGCGUAAAGGGCGCGUAGGCGGCUCGUGACAAGUCACUUGUGAAAUCUCCGGGCUUAACUCGGAACGGUCAAGUGAUACUGUGGACUAGAGUACAGAAGGGGCAACUGGAAUUCUCGGUGUAGCGGUGAAAUGCGUAGAUAUCGGGAGGAACACCUAUGGCGAAGGCAGCUCGCUGGGACGUUACUGACGCUGAGACGCGAAAGCGUGGGGAGCAAACAGG
rnacentral:rRNA from 1 species